UUCUUACUUAACCCUGUAAGCUGUUCUAUUUAUUGUAUGCCAGUGAGCAAAACAGGCAAAAAAUAUAUUUUAGCUUGGCUUUUAAAACAUUGGACAUUUAAGUGCUAAAUUGUUACAACAAACACAAAAAAGAAUAAUAAUAAUAAUAAUAAUAAUAAUAAUAAUAAUAAUAAUAAUAAUAAUAAUACAAAAUAUAUCUAUGCAGGUAUUUACAAACAAGAUUAGAUAAACCUAAAGGAGUCUUCAAUCAAAGAAGGAAACAGAAAUCAAACUUACAAAGUGUUCAAAGGCAGACGUUUCCUCCCCCCGUGGGAGCAGCUGUUGUCCAGCAUGGCCGCAGUCCCCUCACCAGGCUGCCUGCUUGCAAGGAAUCAGUUUUACAGAAACCGAAUUAAUUCCUCUUCCAGCCAUUCAUCUGGAAUCUCCAAUAUGUCAAAAGACAACGAAGGGAGCCUCCCCCUAACCACUAAAUCCAUACGUCAAGCUGUGGAGAAAAGUUGGUUGAGCGGUGCAUUUGUUGGAAGUUUGGGACAGAACUCCAGUACUGGCAAGGUUUCAUCAAAAAAAUAGGAUAACAUGGUAUUGCAACGGAAAGCCGGACUCACUCUGAUGGAGACAAAAAAAAAAAAAAAGGAACUUUAUACGGUCUGUGCUAAUGAAGGAUGCGGAAAACGGUAUGUGUUUUAAUGUUACUGAGUUACAAAGACUGGCUUGAGAAGACAGAAGAACUACGUGAUGCUCAUGCCUGCCGCUUGAAAAAGGCAAAAUGUGUUUUAUUCCAUUAGAAAAACCAGGCAGCAGGCCAAACUUGGACCCCAGGGGGGGGGGGGGGGGGGGGGAGUGUACAUGGCCAUAGAAAUCGAUUGGUUCAUUGAUAGUGCUAAAGCUCAGACAGAUGUGCGGCUGAGAAAGAAUAAACACAAAAAAGUGUACAAUCAGCACAAAAGCUUGAAGUAAAACACCAAAUAAAAUACAGCACGUUGAGCUCACUUAGCAGUUUCCCCAAUAGUGUGGAAUAGGUUGAGACAGCUUUUGGCAUGACCAUGUUACAUAAUUCUACAGUUCCUGGCCUUCUCUGAAACACACCAGAAUGAAUUUGAGGCUAUUUGAGCAAUGCACUGCCAGUUGCAGAAAAACAGGUAAUGUAAAAGGAUUAGUGGCACACAUGGAAACUACUUCUCACAAUGUUUUAUCAGCUAUUAGAAAAUAGUUUUGUUUUUGUAAAUAUGUACAGCAUUAUUUUGUCUACUCUUCCAACAUUACAACUCAGUCUUUUACAAAUCUCUGGGAUCUGUGACUUACAAAACAAAUUUAAAAAAUAAAAUCGAAAUACUAUUAUACUUUAAAACAUGUAAUAAAAUUAAGUCAAUUUUACACUCACUGUAUAUGGCCUCCGAUUCAUGUACUGUUCUGUCGCAGAUAAGACUUUGCAGCUGUACAACCUACAUAAGCCAAUGCUGCAUUUGCAACAUGUAAUACCAAAUAUUAAGCUGAUGUUAUGUGCUUUAGAAGAUUAAUUGGUGCUGAUCUGGGCAUCAUUGCAGAGUCAUCAUUGUUCAGCUUUAAAGACCAGCAAUUCUAGUAAAAAACAAGGCAUUGCCUGCUUAUGAAUCCGAAGGGAGAAAACAAUAAAUCACUCACUGACAAAUUGUUAUGCAACCCACACACGGGGAAUGAUGCAAUAAAGAAGAAAUUAAGUAGGUAGUUACUCAAUUGCGCACUGUAGGGGAAUUUGAACACAAGAGCCCUGUGUCAAGCUAGUGUCUUGCUAAUUCUCCCUUCUGUAAACUCUAAUGCCACAGUGUUGGAAUGUUUGGUUGCAUUCCCUAAGUGCAGUUUAGAGCUAUGGGCACACAGGCUUUCCUAACAAACACAGCUGCCAUUAGUUUAUAAAAAUAUGAAUAUCUGUAUGAAAUGGCUUCCAAGAUACAGUACCAAGACAACUUUUGUAUUAAGACAACAGUUUUGGGCUGUUUCUUGCUUUUAUACCAUUUCUUAGAACAUCUUGCUUUAACACAUUUUAGAAACCAUAAAACAACUCAAUAAUACUUUGUUCAAACCAAAAAUAACAUAUGUUGGCUGCUGAAGGCCAUUUUAUUAAUCUGCAAAACCCAAGGUGGUAAGAAAGAAAAAAGAAAAAAGUGUUACAAAAAAUGUAAUUUUUUUUUUUU